rnacentral:rRNA from 1 species
AACGAACGCUGGCGGCAGGCUUAACACAUGCAAGUCGAACGCCCCGCAAGGGGAGUGGCAGACGGGUGAGUAACGCGUGGGAAUCUACCCAGUUCUACAGAACAACUGAGGGAAACUUCAGCUAAUACCGUAUACGCCCUACGGGGGAAAGAUUUAUCGGAAUUGGAUGAGCCCGCGUUAGAUUAGCUAGUUGGUGGGGUAAUGGCCUACCAAGGCGACGAUCUAUAGCUGGUCUGAGAGGAUGAUCAGCCACACUGGGACUGAGACACGGCUCAGACUCCUACGGGAGGCAGCAGUGGGGAAUAUUGGACAAUGGGCGCAAGCCUGAUCCAGCCAUGCCGCGUGAGUGAUGAAGGCCUUAGGGUUGUAAAGCUCUUUCAGUGGGGACGAUAAUGACGGUACCCACAGAAGAAGCCCCGGCUAACUUCGUGCCAGCCGCCGCUGUAACAC